AUUGAACGCUGGCGGCAGGCUUAACACAUGCAAGUCGAGCGGGGAAGGGUAGCUUGCUACCUAACCUAGCGGCGGACGGGUGAGUAAUGCUUAGGAAUCUGCCUAUUAGUGGGGGACAACAUUCCGAAAGGAAUGCUAAUACCGCAUACGCCCUACGGGGGAAAGCAGGGGAUCUUCGGACCUUGCGCUAAUAGAUGAGCCUAAGUCAGAUUAGCUAGUUGGUGGGGUAAAGGCCUACCAAGGCGACGAUCUGUAGCGGGUCUGAGAGGAUGAUCCGCCACACUGGGAAUGAGACACGGCCCAGACUCCUACGGGAGGCAGCAGUGGGGAAUAUUGGACAAUGGGCGCAAGCCUGAUCCAGCCAUGCCGCGUGUGUGAAGAAGGCCUUUUGGUUGUAAAGCACUUUAAGCGAGGAGGAGGCUACUUGGAUUAAUACUCUAGGAUAGUGGACGUUACUCGCAGAAUAAGCACCGGCUAACUCUGUGCCAGCAGCCGCGGUAAUAC
rnacentral:rRNA from 1 species